AGAGUUUGAUCCUGGCUCAGAACGAACGCUGGCGGCGUGGAUAAGGCAUGCAAGUCGAGCGCGAAAGUCCCCUUCGGGGGAUGAGUAGAGCGGCAAACGGGUGAGUAACACGUGAGUAACCUGUCCUUGGGUGGGGGAUAACCCCGGGAAACCGGGGCUAAUACCGCAUGAUGUUGUUCCCACACAAGUGAGAAUAACCAAAGGGGGGGACCUUCGGGCCUCCCGCCUGAGGAGGGGCUCGCGCCUGAUUAGCUAGUUGGUGGGGUAACGGCUCACCAAGGCGAUGAUCAGUAGCCGGUCUGAGAGGAUGGCUGGCCACACUGGGAUUGAGAUACGGCCCAGACUCCUACGGGAGGCAGCAGUCUAGAAGCUUCGGCAAUGGGCGAAAGCCUGACCGAGCGACGCCGCGUGCAGGAUGAAGGUCUUCGGAUUGUAAACUGCUUUCGACGGGGAUGAAAGGUAAGAGGGCGAAUACCCCCCUUAUUUGACAGUACCCGCAGAAGAAGCCCUGGCUAACUCCGUGCCAGCAGCCGCGGUAAUACGGAGAGGGCAAGCGUUGUUCGGAUUUAUUGGGCGUAAAGCGCGCGUAGGUGGCAUGGUAAGUCGGAUGUUAAAGACCCACGGCUCACCCGGGGGAAUGCGUCCGAUACUGCCGUGCUAGAGUGCGGGAGAGGAAAGUGGAAUUCCUGGUGUAGCGGUGAAAUGCGUAGAUAUCAGGAGGAACACCGGUGGCGAAGGCGGCUUUCUGGCCCGUAACUGACACUGAGGCGCGAAAGCGUGGGGAGCGAACGGGAUUAGAUACCCCGGUAGUCCACGCCGUAAACG
rnacentral:rRNA from 1 species